AUUGAACGCUGGCGGCAUGCCUUACACAUGCAAGUCGAACGGCAGCACGGGUGCUUGCACCUGGUGGCGAGUGGCGAACGGGUGAGUAAUACAUCGGAACAUGUCCUGUAGUGGGGGAUAGCCCGGCGAAAGCCGGAUUAAUACCGCAUACGAUCUACGGAUGAAAGCGGGGUACCUUCGGGCCUCGCGCUAUAGGGUUGGCCGAUGGCUGAUUAGCUAGUUGGGGGGGUAAAGGCCUACCAAGGCGACGAUGAGUAGCUGGUCUGAGAGGACGACCAGCCACACUAGGACUGAGACACGGCCCAGACUCCUACGGGAGGCAGCAGUGGGGAAUUUUGGACAAUGGGCGAAAGCCUGAUCCAGCAAUGCCGCGUGUGUGAAGAAGGCCUUCGGGUUGUAAAGCACUUUUGUCCGGAAAGAAAUCCUUGGCCCUAAUACGGUCGGGGGAUGACGGUACCGGAAGAAUAAGCACCGGCUAACUACGUG
rnacentral:rRNA from 1 species